rnacentral:rRNA from 1 species
CCUACGGGAGGCAGCAGUGGGGAAUAUUGGGCAAUGGGCGCAAGCCUGACCCAGCAACGCCGCGUGAAGGAAGAAGGCUUUCGGGUUGUAAACUCCUUUUCUCAGGGACGAAGCAAGUGACGGUACCUGAGGAAUAAGCCACGGCUAACUACGUGCCAGCAGCCGCGGUAAGACGUAGGCGGCAAGCGUUAUGCGGAUUUGCUGGGUGUAAAGGGCGUGUAGGCGGGAAAGCAAGUCAGAUGUGAAAACCAUGGGCUUAACCUGUGGCCUGCAUUUGAAACUGUUUUUCUUGAGUACUGGAGAGGCAGACGGAAUGCCUAGUGUAGCGGUGAAAUGCGUAGAUAUUAGGAGGAACACCAGUGGCGAAGGCGGUCUGCUGGACAGCAACUGACGCUGAGGCACGAAAGCGUGGGGAGCGAACAGGAUUAGAUACCCCAGUAGUC